AGUGAACGCUGGCGGUAGGCCUAACACAUGCAAGUCGAACGGCAGCACAGUAAGAGCUUGCUCUUACGGGUGGCGAGUGGCGGACGGGUGAGGAAUACAUCGGAAUCUACUUUUUCGUGGGGGAUAACGUAGGGAAACUUACGCUAAUACCGCAUACGACCUACGGGUGAAGGCAGGGGAUCUUCGGACCUUGCGCGAUUGAAUGAGCCGAUGUCGGAUUAGCUAGUUGGCGGGGUAAAGGCCCACCAAGGCGACGAUCCGUAGCUGGUCUGAGAGGAUGAUCAGCCACACUGGAACUGAGACGCGGUCCAGACUCCUACGGGAGGAAGCAGUGGGGAAUAUUGGACAAUGGGGGAAAGCCUGAUCCAGCCAUACCGCGUGGGUGAAGAAGGACUUCGGGUUGUAAAGCCCUUUUGUUGGGAAAGAAAAGCAGCAGGUUAAUACCCCGCUGUUCUGACGGUACCCAAAGAAUAAGCACCGGCUAACUUCGUG
rnacentral:rRNA from 1 species